rnacentral:rRNA from 1 species
UACGUAGGGUGCGAGCGUUAAUCGGAAUUACUGGGCGUAAAGCGUGCGUAGGCGGUUCGUUAAGUUCGUUGUGAAAGCCCCGGGCUCAACCUGGGAAUGGCAAUGGAAACUGGCGGGCUGGAGUACGGUAGGGGCAGAGGGAAUUUCCGGUGGAGCGGUGAAAUGCGUAGAGAUCGGAAAGAACACCAACGGCGAAAGCACUCUGCUGGGCCGACACUGACACUGAGAGACGAAAGCUAGGGGAGCGAAUGGG